rnacentral:rRNA from 1 species
UACGUAGGGUGCAAGCGUUGUCCGGAAUUAUUGGGCGUAAAGAGCUCGUAGGCGGUUUGUUGCGUCGGCUGUGAAAUCCCGAGGCUCAACCUCGGGUCUGCAGUCGAUACGAGCAAACUAGAGUGUUGCAGGGGAGACUGGAAUUCCUGGUGUAGCGGUGAAAUGCGCAGAUAUCAGGAGGAACACCGGGUGGCGAAGGCGGG